rnacentral:tRNA from 1 species
GGGCCAGUAGCUUAGCGGCUAAAGCAUCAAGCUUAUACCUUGAGGAUCGAUGGUUCGAGUCCAUCCUGGCCCA